GCCGCGUGAGCGAUGAAGGAUUUCGGGGUGUAAAGCUCUUUUUCAGGGAAGAUAAUGACGGUACCUGACUAAGAAGCGCCGGCUAAAUACGUGCCAGCCGCCGCGGUAAUCUAGCCAGCCGCCCGGUAAU
rnacentral:rRNA from 1 species